AUUGAACGCUGGCGGCAGGCCUAACACAUGCAAGUCGAACGGUAACAGGAAGCAGCUUGCUGCUUUGCUGACGAGUGGCGGACGGGUGAGUAAUGUCUGGGAAACUGCCUGAUGGAGGGGGAUAACUACUGGAAACGGUAGCUAAUACCGCAUAACGUCGCAAGACCAAAGAGGGGGACCUUCGGGCCUCUUGCCAUCGGAUGUGCCCAGAUGGGAUUAGCUAGUAGGUGGGGUAACGGCUCACCUAGGCGACGAUCCCUAGCUGGUCUGAGAGGAUGACCAGCCACACUGGAACUGAGACACGGUCCAGACUCCUACGGGAGGCAGCAGUGGGGAAUAUUGCACAAUGGGCGCAAGCCUGAUGCAGCCAUGCCGCGUGUAUGAAGAAGGCCUUCGGGUUGUAAAGUACUUUCAGCGGGGAGGAAGGGAGUAAAGUUAAUACCUUUGCUCAUUGACGUCACCCGCAGAAGAAGCACCGGCUAACUCCGUG
rnacentral:rRNA from 1 species